UGAGGUGGUUAUGCAAACUUUUAUGGUCCUCAAAUCUGAAUGAAUAUAGGUCAGAAAUUACAGUAUUUAUUCUUAAUGAGAAACUCAAGGAAUUUUUCAAGAAAUAGAGAAAUAGUAUUAGAUUGUAAUGUAAGUUAUAAGUAAAAUAUUUCAUGUCUUGAAUGUUUAUCCUUUAUCAGAUUUAAUAUUUUAAAUUUACUCAGCUUUUUCCAUGUUAGGAACAGAAACAGCAAGCUCUAACGGAACUACAGUUGAUUCGUUUUACAUUGAAGAUAAUGAAAAAUAAAGUUAUGUAGUAUUUUCCAGGUUCUGUUGGAUUAAAAGAAUCCAUAGAAAUUAAAAUGAGUAUUAGAGAAACCCACAGAAGUUCUCUUGAAAUAACAAAUAUUUGUAUCUGCAUCCAUACGCUACUUCAAUGCGCCAGUGUGGAUAAAAGGAGUGAUUGUCAAAUGCAUUACAUGUGUGUUUUUCAAGCAGAGAUUAAAUUAUUUCCACACUAUGUCCUUAAUAGGUCUGGGGAAAAAAAAAAAAAUCUUUCAGCAAGUCUUCAUCCAGCAAAUUUGAUAAUGACAGGUGAAGAGAAGGUAAUAUAACUUGACCUAUGACUAUAUUGGUGAUAAAAAUUUCUAAAAUGCAAAGUAAGGUGAAAUUAGUCAGCAAAGGAAGUGGAUGCUUAGAUUGGCAUGAGUUCUUUGGGAAUGUGCCAGUGUAGAUAUGGUUGUGCCUUUUUGCUGAGAAUGUCAGAUCAGCUUCUUUAACAUAGUGUAAUUUCUUGGACUUUGUUCACACUUGUUUUUUUCUAUUUUGUUUUCCCAUCCUAGAUCAUAAGAGAAUAUAAAAUCUGGAGAUCACAUGGGCCAAGGUGACUUCUAUCAGAUCUGUAACUGCAUGGACUGCUUGUUGUAAUUGAUCUUUUGGGAGCACAGAUACUGCAGUUUAGUUAUUCCCCAGUCUUCCUGUGUAGAGCAAUGUAACCCCAGUGGACAGAACUCUGUUCAUGAGACUUUCAUUCUUACAGUAGGAGAAUCAGUUUUAAGUAAACUAUGAGAUCAAGGAAAAAUUUUCCAUUUAGAGCGCAACUUCAGAAUCCACAGGCCUUCAUCCUGCAGGCAAUAGAUGUUCUACUCUACCAACAUAUGAUGAACUAAAAACCUCAACCAAACAACUCUACAGCUUGGAUUGAAUUGAAAAUAAAUAUUCUGAAGAUGGCUAUUAACUCAUGUUCUUCUGUUGUAAGGUCAGUGAAAAAGUGAUUCGAUUUUUUUGUACUAGAGAUAGAAGUAUAAAAUAAGUGUGCAAAUGAGGGAGGGGAAAGCUCACAGUAGAAGUUAAAAUGUAGAAUUUAAAGGAUAUCCUGCUUUAUGUAUUUGUUAUCUACAGGGCCAGGUAAAGGACAAUAGAAUUGCUUUUGCAUACUGUAGGAAUGAAGUUAUUAACUACUUACAGGUUAGGAUGAUUAUUACCAAGCUGUGCUAAAUCAAAGCUGCAAAUUAGAGGAAUAUACUGGUUUUAUCACCAGAAACUUCAGUGUAGGGGGUGUAUGAGUAUUCUGGAGGGGAAAAGAAAUUACACUUUUGCAUUAUAUUGUUCUAAUCCUUUGUCCUCUGUUGUCUGUUAUUUCUGUAAUUUUAUUUGUGGCUUGAAGCUGUAGGAUGUUAACAGGCAUAAGGAAACUUACCCAGAGGUAGAAUUAGUGUGGUUUGCUUUCAGUGUUAGAGGGAUUAAGUGAACACUUGAUGAAACUGUAUUUGUAGGUAACUUUUAAAACCAGGGAUUUAGGCAUCUGGCUGCCAUUAGUAUUCAGGAGUGAUAGGAAGCUGAAGCUGUCUCACCCUUUUUAAAUUACUUUGGCCUAAUGCUUAGCUGAUUAUCAUGAUGAGUGAAUAGUGAAAUAUGGAAUGAAAAUAAUGAAUACUUCUUAGGUAUUUUAGGGGUAAUGUAAGACCAUGUAUAUAGCAUAACACAAUGUUCAUAAGAGUAACUAUUGGAGGAGGAUUUGUAAAGCUAUUUUUAGUUUUGUCAUAUGUGUAGCAGAUGACUAGAGAUUAACAAACUGCUAAUGACAUAGUUGUUCAUUUUAAAAACCUUUAAAUUGAGAAUUCUGUCUACUGUUUAGAUCAGGAGAAGUACGCUGUGUACCAUACAUAAUUCGUUUCUUGUAAUAGGUAUAUUAAACUUUAGUUGCAGUGUCUUGCAGAUGUAAAACUUGCUGAUGUAGUUGCUGGUUUUUAAUAGAUCAGACUCUGACCAUUUCAUAGAUAAAAAGCUAGGCUUUCAUUGGCUGUUAUGAAUAGAGCACCUUUCCGCAAAUGAAGAAAUGGUGUAAUAAUUAACAGGUAUAAUGGAUAUGUGCAUUCAGGUUUCAGUUAUACCUUUAUAAGCUUUAGCUCCUGUUAUCUUUGGUGUAGUUAACCCCCUGUCUGCCCAUACGUAAUUUAACUUCAGCACAAAAAUAGAUUUGUUCUGUUGCCGCAACAUUUUGCUAAUAUGAUAGUUUUUGCUCAUUUUCUAAGAUCUGUAAUGAGUUGUACUUUUGGAUUUUUUUCCUUAAAACAAGGCACAGAACUUCACUAACAAAACUCAUUAAAUAAGUAAUAAUAGUGUUCUAAACAAGCAUAGCAAAGAUUCUUUAAACAAUUUUACAGACAGAGAAUCUACCCAAACUUUAAUUUUUUUCUGAUUUGCAGACUUAAAUGAUAAGUAUUGAUGAUUCCUGGUACUGGGGUUUGGUAUCUUUAACCUAAAAGGUAACUCAGAAAUUGCCAAAGCAGGUUAUUCGAUAGUGGACUUGUUAACUGAAACAGGAGGCGGGCAGAGGUCACAGAACAUUCCUAAGCUCUAAAUAAAGGUAGGAAGGGAAAAUGAGAAUUUUAGGGUUUUAAAAUAUAAAUAUUUUAGUUGCAAAAAUUUAUUGAAUAACAUCAAGAUUAAAUUGCUUUGAUGUAAUAUGCUUGCACUGCAAAAUAUGAAUCAGAAAAGAAAAUCUUAAGUUUAGAGAAGUUAUAGAACUGGAAAGUUAAGGAAAACUUUCUGAAUUUAUGUAUAACUUAUUAAUCUUUAAACAUGACAGAAACCAAAAGUGAUAAUUAAAAUUAGAGAUAAGAUACUGUAUAACUAGAAGUCUACCAAAGCAUAGAAGUGGUUUCUAUUAAAGUAUUAAAUAUUAAAGUAUGUUAACAUCUUAAUUAGUGCUAUUAAUCUGAUUUCACAUGCGUUAUAUGCCAUACUGUUUCAUGUGUUCUUGUAUAUCAGAUAUUCAUUCAGAACACAUUUGUUAGGAGAAACUCUUAAGCAGCUUUUUCUUUUUUGUCUAGAAGUUGGCAUAGCCAUCAUGCGACUGUAAAUUCAGUUUAAUCUGUUUCCGGGACAUUCAGUUGCUUAAUGGCAUCAAUUUUACAUAUAUAUAUAUAUACAGUAUUGGAUCUUGGCAGCGUUCAGUUUGUGAUCAGUAGACCAGAUUUUUUCAUUGGCAUUGGUGGGUUUUUAGUACUGUGGUAAAUAUGUCACUUUUUGUUAUUAAUGCAUUUUUGUCAUGUCAGUGCUAUAUGGGUAUAAGGUGCUUAUAAAAUCCUUUUUAGGACAAGCACCUGAGUAUGUUCAAAGUACUCCUUAAUAUUAGUUACAGAUCUUAAUGUGUAUUUCUUCCAGUAAGACUGCAUUAAGAUGGUAUCUUAUACCUGUGACAGGUUAGUAUUCAUCCCUUGUAGAAGGCAGCAAAGAUUGAAAUGAAAGAGCUGCUCGCUGUACCAAAGCCCAGUUUGGAAAUGACUGAUUAUUUCAUUAAUCUCUGCAUGGUAUGCAAGUUCUUUAGAAGUGGCAUGGGCUUGUGUCAGAAUUGGCUGUUCAGUGUCUUUUGUACUAUAGCACGCAUGUGGAAGAAAUGUUUUUUUAGUUCAUUUGAACCUUUUAUUCACUUGAAUCUCUUUUAUUAAGAGACAUUUAUAUUGUUAUACUAUAGAGUGUCUAAUUAAGCAAGCUACCCAUCUGUACUGGCUGUAGCCAAGGUAAUAACAAAUGAAAAAGCUACCAGUAGACUUAUACGUUUUGAAAUGGGAGGAAUUAUUUAAUCUCAUCCAUUAGGUUUCAUUUCUAAAGUUUAUUUAAAGUAGUGGUAACAUUGUCUUUUUGGUUAUUUGUGUGUUACCAUUCUUUAGUUCAUAGGGUCGUAGAAUAGUUAGGGUUGGAAAGGACCUUAAGAUCAUCUAGUUCCAAACCCCCUGCUAUGAGCAGGGGCACCUCGAACUAAACCAUGUCACCCAAGACUCCAUCCAACCUGGCCUUGAACACUGCCAGGGGUGGAGCAUUCACAAUUUCCUUGGGCAACCCAUUCCAGUGCUUCACCACCCUCACAGUAAAGAACUUCUUCCUUAUAUCUAACCUGAACUUCCCCUGUUUAAGUUUGAAGCCAUUACCCCUUGUCCUACCACUACAGUCCCUAAGGAAGAGUCCCUCCCCAGCAUCCUUGUAGGCCCCCUUCAGAUACUGGAAGGCUGCUAUGAGGUCUCCACGCAGCCUUCUCUUCUCCAGGCUGAACAGCCCCAUCUUAACUUAGUUAUAUAACGUAAGCCUUUCACAAGUAUGGGAAUUGUCCUUCAGAAGUUGUAUUCUCAUGAGUCUAAAUUUAUUUAAACAUACAAUUGCAGAAGUUUGGACAUAGCAGUCUUUUACGUAUUAUUUGUUUUGCAGUGAGCAUAAAACUGAGUGGUACCAGUUACUGUGUUUUGUAGUUCCUUUGUAUUAUGACAUGAUAUGUUUAACUUUGGCGGUUGUAUAUUACUUUUCCUGUUACACCUGUAGUAGACCUCUUGGUCAGUGUUCCAGAAUGUUUAUAGUUUUUCCAUGUUAGUGUGAGCUUUAUGAAUGUGCAGAUUUACUGAGCUCUAGUGGGUUGUUAGAAAAUGUUUGUUAAUUUAGUAAAUGCUAAAUUAAAAAUUUAAAUCUUUUUUGAUGCUGUAUUUGUUUCAAUGCUCUUUUUCUUCUGUUUGCAGCUGGAUUAGCUCUUGAAUUUAGUUUCUGGAGCUCUGUGUCCUACCUCUGUGGAACUGCCUAUUGCAGCAACUCCUAUUAACACCACUCUUAAAACAUGUAGCUAGGUGUCUGCAUUUUGGGGAACACUUGUAGCUGUAGCUGAGUAUUUUAAAAUCAUACUAUAGCAGAAAUUUAAAAAUAUAAACGGCCUUACAAGCAUUUAUUUCACAUGAAUUAAAAUUAAGUACUGAAUAGUGAAUUCACAUUUGGCUGUUUAAUUAGCAAUAACAAAUGACAAUAAGUCUGCUCAAUAAUUAAACUUAAAUUGAACUUCUCUAUAAUUCUGCAUCUGCUAUAUUUCCAAGUAUCAGAAUCAGAAAUUAAGCCCUACUGUAAAUGUAUUUUUCUAUGCAAGUUUGACACAACAAAUAGCUUCCCCUUGUCUAUUUUGUACAUUCAGUUUUAUAGGCUUUAAGUAGUAGUGCUUUUACGAGUUAAAUUAUGAAAUGAUCCCUUGAAUGUUAUGUAUUUUUAAAUUAUUAAGAAAGGCCAAAUUUUUUUUUUUUUUUUUUGCAUUUACUAAUGUUUACUGUUGUGCCUAUUGCACAAACCACAUUGUUUAAAGUCAAACUUACACAGCAAUCCAAAAUGUCAAAAAGACCUCAAAUUCAUAUCUUUGUGGGAGCACCCAGUAUUCCAAGCCCGCCGGAAGUGUCAGAACAAAGUAGAUCAGCACAUGCUGCUGAAAAAUGGAGAGAACUCCAUUGUUUGUUUGAUACACAUGGUCUUUUUUCUGAAAGAGUUAAAGGUGCUGACCACUUAGUGUUUCAGGCAGAAACAGCAGUUCCUACAAACAAUGACAGCUCUCAGCAGUCUGAACAGGGGAGAUUAAUGGUAGCAAAAGAAUAUUUGACAUCUCUUGAACCUGUGACAGUAACUUGUACCAGCACACCUAAAAAGAGCGAAAGUUGCAUUUAUUCUGAUUGUCAGAUAUCUACAGUUAGAUGCACAGAUGCAAAUGUCAAUCAGGCUGCAGAUCAACACCUUCCACAAAAAUUUGCAGAAUUAGCUAGACAAGAUAAAAUAUCACAUGGCUGUUGUUCAAACCUCACUGAAAGAAAAGGUGGUCAUUUAGAAGUUAACAGCUCUGACAUUUCCGAUUUGGUUGCCAGUACUAAGCAGAUCAGCAUACAUCUAAGGUCUAUGGGACAAGGUGUUCAGUCAGAUUGUAGAAGUGAACACCUAAGCCAAUAUUUGGAUAUGUUCUUCCCCCAAAAUCAAGAGUCAAAACCAAAAGGAGAACCAAGUGAUUGUCCAGACUUUGCAGUGUCGACAGAUACUGAAUUUCGUAGUAUAAUGACUUCAAGUCAGAUGGCUGUUUUUGCACAGGAUCGGAAUGAGAUGCAGAAGCGAGUCAUAAAACUACUGGAAACGGAAGUAGGCAAAAAAACAGAUGAAAGGCGGUAUGAUCACUUCCAACUUGAUUCUGAUGUUGGAACAUGUCUCAAUGUAGCUGAAAAUGAAUAUAAGGAAGAAUGUACAAGUUCCCCUGAACUUUUCAUUUCUGAGGGUGAUGGGAAAAACAUUUGCUUGGAAGCUGCAAAACAAGAAGGAAGUGCUCAGGAAAAUACAGAGGAGUUUCAAGAACUUAAUGUUCCUGCUGAGGAACUUGUAAAUGGAAUCCAUAUUGAACCAUUGAGCUCAGGAAUAUUGUGCUCUCAAGUAGACAGUUCUCAUAAGAGUUCUUCUAAAAGAGCCCACAAGUGUGAAGAUUCCUUUCGUAAUUUUCACUCAUCAUUUAAAAGACAGCUGAAAUCUAAGAGAGUAAAACUUAAUUCUUGUCCAGCUGGUCCUGGGAUGAGAGUGGAUCAAGAGAGGAUGACGGAGUUCAAGAAACUUCAAAAGAAAUUAACACCACUUAAGAGUUGCUGCUGCAAAAAUCAAAAGUACAAUGUUUUGGUCACAAUUAUACAUCCUUGCCAUAUCAAAGAAAUACAGGUGAAGACUAGACCAAAAUCUUCAUGUAAAGUUCCUGUAGCAACAGUUGUAGUUAUUGACCAGUCAGAAAUUGAGAGAAAGGUGGUGCUGUGGCGUGGUGCUGCAUUUUGGUCACUCACUGUGUUUCCUGGGGAUAUUGUACUGCUUACAGAUAUAAUAAUGUAUGAGAAUCUUUGGUGCGGAGAAGUCAUGAUGCAGUCUACAUUUACCAGUCAGUUACUGAAUCUGGGGAACUGCUCAGCCCUCAAUCCAGAAGAAUUUUAUCCCAUAGUAGGUUGUGGUGUUCUCCGUGGCUUACUGGCAUACAUAGCAUCAGAAUUUCCACACUUCAAAGACAUUCCACGAAGACAAGUUCAGAGGCUGGAUAGUAUUCAGUAUAUGCAGCUGGACCAGCUCCAGCCAAAUACAGUGGUUCACUCAAUCUUGAAAAUUAUCAACAUUGCCAUAUUAACAGAAUCAGUGUAUAGCUACAGAGGUGGCAUCCAAAGAAAAAUUAUUCUAACAGUAGAACAGAACAGAGAUCAACACUAUAGGAUGGUGCUGUGGGGAGCAGGGGCUGCCUGGUACCCUCAACUUCAAAGGAAAAAAGAUCACAUAUGGGACUUUAAAUACCUUCUGGUGCAACAUAGUUCUGUCUCAGGUGAUUUUGAACUGCACACAACUCCAUGGUCAUCGUGUGAGUGCUUGUUUGAUGAUGACAAAAGGGCAAUUGAAUUUAAAGAAAAGUUUCAGAAAAGCAAAACAUCCCUCAUGCAGGUGACGAAGCUCUCAGCACAUUUGGAGGAGAAGUGCUCAGGAGUGAUUCAAGUGAAAGCCCAUAUCUUAGAACUGAAGUUUACUGUUUCAACUGGUCAGUACAAGCAGCUCAUCUUUCGUGCUGACACUUCACUGGAGUGUGUUUUGGCUUCUCUGCCUAUGAUUACAUAUUCAGGUUGUGCUAAAUGUGGUUUGGAACUACAGGCAGAUGAGAACAUGAUCUACAAGCAAUGUAUUAGAUGUUUGCCAUACAACAAAGUAAAAACUUUCUACAGUUCAUUCCUGUUGAAGUAAAUAAGAUUAUCUGAAAGAAGACUUAGAUGACCUGGAGAACAGAGUAUGAACUGAGAAACAGACCUGCUUUGAUGACAGUAGAAGAUGGAGGAUAUGAAAUCUAUGUUCAUGUGGUGUCUGAGCUGAUGGAAAAAAUCUUCCUCAAUAUUCCUGCAGACUGGCUGAAGAGAUUAGUAGUGCCCUCCUCAGAUAUAACCUAUGGCACAGUAAUAGCAGAUCUGUGUCAUUUGCUGCUAGCAGAUACAGAAGCAUCCUAUUUGUUGGAAAUUAGGAGCCAUUUUGUGCUAGAUGAAAACAGCUAUCCUUUGCAAAAGGAUUUCCAUCUGCUAAAUUUUCAUCCUGAUCUUUGAAGCAUUGACCUCUGCAAUAACUGAGCAUUAACAGAGACCAUAGGAACAUACGGAUGGCAAACAGAAGAAAACGGAAUGAGCUGAAGGAAGCAAAUCUCUUUAACAAUACAAGAAAGGAUUUUGGUUUUAACUUAUACAAAAAGAAAAAAAGGACUGGUAUGGAAUAUCUGCUAAAUGUAUAUACUGCUGCUGUAAUAUUUGUUAAUUGUUGUAAAGUAUAUUUUUAUAAAUAUAUUUUUAUCUUAA